UAGGGAAUCUUCCACAAUGGACGAAAGUCUGAUGGAGCAACGCCGCGUGAGUGAAGAAGGUUUUCGGAUCGUAAAGCUCUGUUGUUGGUGAAGAAGGAUGGAGGCAGUAACUGGUCUUUAUUUGACGGUAAUCAACCAGAAAGUCACGGCUAACUACGUGCCA
rnacentral:rRNA from 1 species